AUUAAACUCAUGGCAUCAGAUUGUAGCUAUGGUAAAACAUAACUCUAACUGAGAAGAUUGUUAUUUGCACUUUUACAAAGUAAACUUGUCAGCUCCUUUAAAUCUUGAAUUUAAUUUAUUUUAAAUCAUCAUCAAAA